rnacentral:rRNA from 1 species
GAUGAACGCUGGCGGCGUGCCUAACACAUGCAAGUCGAGCGGCAGCGAGGGGUGCUUGCACUCUGUCGGCUUACGGCGAUCGUCUUAGUAGAGCGUGGGGUCGUGCCCCAAUGUGCGGCAUAAUUGCGCGGAAUGGCAGCCAAUACUGCCUAUUAUCAUCGCAUCAAAGGAUAUAGCUGCUUUGGGCAGGGCUCGCGUCGGAUUAGGUAGUUGGUGGGGUAAUGGCUCACCAAGCCGACGAUCCGUAGCUGGUCUGAGAGGAUGACCAGCCAGACUGGAACUGAGACACGGUCCAGACUCCUACGGGAGGCAGCAGUGGGGAAUAUUGCACAAUGGGCGAAAGCCUGAUGGAGCGACGCCGCGUGCAGGAAGAAGGCCUUCGGGUUGUAAACUGCUUUUAGAAGUGAAGAAUGUGACGGUAACUGAUGAAUAAGGAUCGGCUAACUACGUG